GGACACUGGAAGAAAAAUACAGAGAUUCAUGACUCCAGAAUCCCCACUAACCUGUUAACCGAGUAGCUCAGGUGGUCAGUUUCAGAUGAACUCACCUUUAGUGAUGUCACACAGAAGUUCAGAGCUUCUAAGCCCGUGUAAAGAAGGAAGCUCCGAGACCAAGUGUGUUGCAAGAUUAUCCUCACCAUUAUGAGCCUCCACAUGCAGUCUGGGCCGGGCAGUUCACUUCCGCAAUAAAAGUAACGAAUGCCAACUUAUCUGCCAUAAUAUUAUUUUCAUUUGCCUUUUCUUGGUUCAGACAUUCGUUUCUCAUCCUCGAGACUGCAUCUAUUUUCUCUGCUUCUUUCUGUCACAUGAAAUCCUUUGAUUGCUUCAGCCUAUGUUAAUCCUUCUGUUAUCUUAACAAUUUGUACCUUAGUAGCAUUGUUCCUUACUUGACAUCCUCCGUAUCCCAUGCUAUAUUCUCCCCCACAGUUGCAGCAUUUUGGCUUGGUACCUUCCUCACACUUUCCAUAUUCAUGGUCCCCAUCCCCCCACCUUGCACAUCUUUGUUUUCCUCUACAUUCUGUUGCCACAUGACCAUACUUCUGGCACUUCAAACAUCUCAGUGGGGGUGGGAUAUAUGGUUGAACUCUGUAACUCAUAACUCCUAAAAAUCUGGCAAUUUUUGCUCAUCAAAAUGUAACAUCACUGACAGCCUACCAAUCUUCUCCUUGUUUCAAGUAUAUUUCACUCUGCUUGCAUCCAUCACGUUUGCUCCUGACAAGCUUUUCUUAAUUGUAUCAACAGAAACAUUAACUGGAUAUCAUCUUUCUCACUUUCUGUACCUGAUGUUCAACUCCAAUCUUUCCUUCUUUUGCACUUUUCAACUAAACUCCACUUGCCAGUUAGUUUCUUCCAUUUUCCACACCAUCUAAGUCUUCCUUGAUAUUUGAGUCACUUCUGGCCUCUACGCCAUUUCAGACCAUCAUGACUUCAGUCACAACCCAGUGAUGCCAACUGCCACCGUGUUGGUUUCCUGUAAUUAUGUCAUCAAUUAUGACAUGAAGCUUUCAUCUGUGUUCAAUUUCCGCCCUGUCCCAAAUGGCACACUAUGCCCUUGUGGACCUCCUCUGAGUCCACAGUUUGGUGAUGUCAGCUAAUGCAGACCUAUGGGGCACAAAGGGACAAUUUGGUCCACUGUGUAGCAGUUUAUAAUCUGCAGGUCCUCAGCUGCACAUUGCUGCAGCAUUACUGAAAGCAAGAGCGCCACAUCAGAGCAUCUUUCAAGGGGAGAUUCCAAACACCUGCUCACCUGUCGAUCAUUCGCCGGUUGAUCAUUUACACGUCAAUAAUUCACCUGUCAGUCAUUCUGGAUUCACAUGAUUGGCUCAUCAUGUUUUUAUUUGGUCUAGGUCAAAGGUCAUCAUCAAUCAUAUUUAUGUUGACAGGUGUUGACAGGUGUAGGUCAAAGGUCAUCACCAACCGUCAUUAUCUUAACAGAUUAAUCAUUCUGUCACUUCACGGCGAGCUCGCAACUACAGUUCCCAGAAGGCAGUGCCAACUACAAACAUGGCCGACGAGAACUACACCUCCGGACCAUGCACGCGCUCACGUUCACCAGAGUACUGAGUCAGUGCGUUUACAUGGGCAACAAUAAUCCACUCUUAACCCAAUUAAGACCAUACUUUGAUUAAGAAACUACCAUGUAAACAGCAAUUUUUACUUACCUUAAUCUAAUUAAGGUCAUACUCGAAGUAAGCAACAACUGAAUUAAGACAGGUAGAGUACUCCUGUUUUAGUCGCAUUAUGGACGUGUAUUACAGACAUGUAAACACCUUAAUCACAUUAUGAACGUCGUGUGAGAGUUUUCACUGCAUUUUGCAACAGGACAUGAUCACACACGGCAGUUUUAUGUUUUACAGCAGACAAGAGAGUUCAGCUGCGUCCCAAAUCGCAUACUUGCCUACUAUAGGCCUGUAGUGGGGAAAAAUACAUGUAUCUCGGCUACUAUAUCGAUGGUAACUACGCGAUUUGGGACACACCCACUGCUUCAAGCAGCUGUCUAUUAGCAAGUACAGCAUGACAAAUAAUUAACUGCACUUAAACGUUCGUAAAAAAAUUUAAUAAAAACACCCCAAACUGUAUACGAUCCCAUAACGAAGACGAACUGUAUGUUGAUACGUGAAAUUCUGGAGGGACGUCGGACGGCGUGGCGCGGUGACGUAAUGACGCAGGCUGUUAAUCUAAUUAUGUUCUAAAACAUGUAAAAUGGGAACAUGUUAUAGGAGAUUUGGAUCUCAGAUAUAUGUAGCCUCAGUCCUACCAUUAUUUCCAGCUUAAUGUAAAAUACAAGCUGAUGUAUUAUGUUAUGCGAUGUUAUGUGAAAAUUAUUAAAACUGUAUUAUAAUUAUACUAUGUAAAGAACCCCAACCUUGACAGUCUGGGGAAACAGAACCACGCGAGGAGAAAAAGAAGAAGAAGGAGGAGGGCAAGACAGCAACAUGGAGGAAGACGGAUUGGAAAGUCUUCUGGUUCGGGGGCCGCUGAGAAAGCUUUUCCGGACAUUAUGCACAUCCAGCAAGACCUGAGAGAUCUACAGCUCGACAUGCUGGAUAUAAAAAGAACUGAAAAGCUGAUAUGGAAAAAUAAUUGUGUAGUGAAAGAAUGUGAUAACAUACUGAGUGUGUUAAAUCAAAUGAAAGCUGAAGCUGAAAUGUUAAAAUAACGUGCUAAAUACAGGAGGACUGAAUACAUUAGGAAAUUAAGUCAGAGACAUGGGAAAAUAGCGAGACUGUCUAACCUUGCUAGACAAAUAGAUGAAAUGGAAAAAUUGAUAGAACGCUUAAAUCUGAAGAAAGCCCAGUAAAAACAUGCAUCCUGUUUUUACUUCCUGUUUUUUUUUUUUUUUUUACAGCCAGCGCUAAAACACACACAGCUUUAAGGCGAGUGCUCAAAAACCACAAAUCCCCUAACUUCUGUCUAUCUGUUAAAGACCCAAAUAAUGGCAUGCUUUCUGUUUUCUACAUGCAGCUUCAGAGUUUUCGCUCGUAACCGCAUCUGGACACCGUUGAGAAGGCGUUGCGGUUUUGAGCGAAAACUUGAAACCAUAAGUGAAAGAUGUAUAUAAGCUUCGAACAGGUGAAGGUUCAGGGCUGCGCCUCGGGUGAAGGUUAUUUGUUUUUAGUUUCUUCUGAAGGAAGAAAAACUAUCUGAUCCUGCGUGAUCAAAAAGUAUUUUUAUGCCUCUGCUUAAAAGAAAACCAUUAUCAGAUACUGUAUAGUCACUGGUUUUGCUUUAUUUUAUUUUCUUUAUAUUCUGAGUUAAGAUAAUUGUAAUCCUUUUGUUCUUUAAUAAACCGAAGUCCAUAUAAAGGACGAUUCGUAUAUCUUA